CUUUGGAAGCUCAAAGCCGCACUGGAAACACAGUCUUUCAGGAUGUCUGAAAGGGAUAUACAGGGAGUCCACGGAGCCUCCCCUGCAAGCAUCAGUACAGAAGUCGAUGAUAAUCUGGAUGCAAGCCCAGGAGUGUGGAGUCCACUGACUCAGAAGACCUGCAUCUAAGGAAUUGGCUGUUCUUAUCCUUAAGAAUGAUGACUGUGUUUCCAAUUCCAGUAGACCCUUUGAUGCGUUCUGAAUAAAUAUUCCUUUUGGAAUUGAACUUCUAGAGCCCUUAACUUUGGCCCACUCUAGUUUUCUGUCUGUUUUUUUUUUUUUUAAUAUUUUUUUUUUGUAAAGAUAAGGUCUUGCUUUGUUGCCCAGGCUGGUCUUGAAUUCCUGGACUCAAGCAAUCCACCUGCCUUGGCCUCCCAAAGUGCUGGGAUUAUAGGUGUGAACCAUUGUGUCCGAUCGCUCUCUGGUUUUUCUAAUAUCAUGAUCCCAACUCUGUUCUUUAUGUAAAUUUCCCUGAUCACAUGGUUGUAUCUUGGCAUUUCAAAAUCCUUGACAGACUUUGUUUUGUUUGAAUUUUACAAUGAACUUACAUGACUAGGCACGGUCCCCAGUUCAGUUUUAUAGACAAGGAUUCUGUAGGUCAAGAAGUGAAACACAACCAAUAACAGCAGGUGACAGGAUUUAAACCUGGGUCACUUUACUUAUUUUUUUCUACUCUAUCAUUAUGUGAAUCUAUCCUACCUCUGCAAUGACAGAUGGCCCUAGAGCAAGAACACUUCCUUACAUCUGGUAUACAGUCAAAAAGUAAAAAUUCCACACAAAUAAAUAUGGAAAGAAUUUUUACCUGCUCCUAUAGCUUCCUUUCAGGGACCUGGCACCCACAAAUGUUGGGUAACAGAAAGAGGACUUAUGUAACUUAACUCAAAGCAGAAAAGUUACAGAGACUGUCUUAGCAUAAUAGAGCAUGGAGUGGUCAUGCUUGGAUGUGCAAACUGUCUGAUAGUCUUGCACAUGGCUUGACCCCGAAUUACACUAGUGGGGCAAGUUGCCUGGGGCAAAGCAAACUUAUUGGACCCAAAGCUCUCAUUUGAGAAUUUUGUUGACUAAAAGUUAUAAAAUAUCAGCAAUUUCAUAUGGUUCAGCCUAAUAUUUUAUCACUCUUCCUUUUUCUAUUCUAAAACAAUAAUUUUUAAUAACGUAAGCUAUACACAUACAUGCUUUAAACAUACAACACCCUGACUAUCAUAUAGUGGAUAUUUCAAGAAGUAAAUGUUCAGCAUGUCUUCA
rnacentral:lncRNA from 1 species